GUGGGGAAUAUUGCACAAUGGGGGAAACCCUGAUGCAGCGACGCCGCGUGGAGGAAGAAGGCCUUCGGGUUGUAAACUCCUGUCGUAAGGGACGAUAGUGACGGUACCUUACAAGAAAGCCACGGCUAACUACGUGCCAGCAGCCGCGGUAAAACGUAGGUGGCAAGCGUUGUCCGGAAUUACUGGGUGUAAAGGGAGCGCAGGCGGGUCUGCAAGUUGGAAGUGAAACCCAUGGGCUCAACCCAUGAACUGCUUUCAAAACUGCGGAUCUUGAGUGGUGUAGAGGUAGGCGGAAUUCCCGGUGUAGCGGUGGAAUGCGUAGAUAUCGGGAGGAACACCAGUGGCGAAGGCGGCCUACUGGGCACUAACUGACGCUGAGGCUCGAAAGCAUGGGUAGCAAACAGGAUUAGAAACCCUAGUAGUCCC
rnacentral:rRNA from 1 species